rnacentral:tRNA from 1 species
GAGGGUAGAACUCAGUGGUAGAGCGUGUGCUUAGCAUGCACAAGGUCCUGGGUUUAAUCCCCAGUACCUCCA